UAAAAAAUGUUGCAACGCAGU
rnacentral:piRNA from 1 species